rnacentral:rRNA from 1 species
AUCAUGGCUCAGAUUGAACGCUGGCGGCAUGCCUUACACAUGCAAGUCGAACGGCAGCACGGGAGCUUGCUCCUGGUGGCGAGUGGCGAACGGGUGAGUAAUACAUUGGAACGUACCCUGAAGUGGGGGAUAACGUAGCGAAAGUUACGCUAAUACCGCAUAUUCUGUGAGCAGGAAAGAGGGGGAUCGCAAGACCUCUUGCUUUAGGAGCGGCCGAUGUCGGAUUAGCUAGUUGGUGAGGUAAAGGCUCACCAAGGCGACGAUCCGUAGCGGGUCUGAGAGGAUGAUCCGCCACACUGGGACUGAGACACGGCCCAGACUCCUACGGGAGGCAGCAGUGGGGAAUUUUGGACAAUGGGCGCAAGCCUGAUCCAGCCAUGCCGCGUGAGUGAAGAAGGCCUUCGGGUUGUAAAGCUCUUUCGGUGGGGAAGAAAUUGCACAGGAUAAUACCUUGUGUAGAUGACGGUACCCGCAUAAGAAGCACCGGCUAACUACGUG